rnacentral:pre_miRNA from 1 species
CUUUGCUGUUGGCCUCUUUACAGUGCUGCCUUGUGGCUUGUGAAUCAAGCAGCAUUGUACAGGGCUAUGAGAGCACUG